ACUGCUCAGUAACACGUGGACAACCUGCCCUUAGGACGAGGAUAAACCCGGGAAACUGGGUAUAAUACCCGAUAGGUCUCGAUUGCUGGAAUGCAUCGAGAUUUAAAGCUCCGGCGCCUAAGGAUGGGUCUGCGGCCUAUCAGGUAGUAGUGGGUGUAGCGUACCUACUAGCCUACGACGGGUACGGGUUGUGAGAGCAAGAGCCCGGAGAUGGAUUCUGAGACACGAAUCCAGGCCCUACGGGGUGCAGCAGGCGCGAAAACUUUACAAUGCUGGCAACAGCGAUAAGGGAACCUCGAGUGCCAGGUUACAAAUCUGGCUGUCGAGAUGCCUAAAAAGCAUUUCAUAGCAAGGGCCGGGCAAGACCGGUGCCAGCCGCCGCGGUAACACCGGCGGCUCGAGUGGUAACCGUUAUUAUUGGGUCUAAAGGGUCUGUAGCCGGCCGGAUAAGUCUCUUGAGAAAUCUGGCAGCUUAACUGUCAGGCUUUCAGGAGAUACUGUCUGGCUCGAGGCCGGGAGAGGUGAGAGGUACUUCAGGGGUAGGGGUGAAAUCUUGUAAUCCUUGAAGGACCACCAGUGGCGAAGGCGUCUCACCAGAACGGACCUGACGGCAAGGGACGAAAGCUAGGGGCACGAACCGGAUUAGAUACCCGGGUAGUCCUAGCCGUAAACGAUACUCGCUAGGUGUCGGCCACGGUGCGACCGUUGUCGGUGCCGUAGGGAAGCCGUGAAGCGAGCCACCUGGGAAGUACGGCCGCAAGGCUGAAACUUAAAGGAAUUGGCGGGGGAGCAC
rnacentral:rRNA from 1 species